rnacentral:rRNA from 2 species
GCCUAAUACAUGCAAGUCGAACGAACUCUGGUAUUGAUUGGUGCUUGCAUCAUGAUUUACAUUUGAGUGAGUGGCGAACUGGUGAGUAACACGUGGGAAACCUGCCCAGAAGCGGGGGAUAACACCUGGAAACAGAUGCUAAUACCGCAUAACAACUUGGACCGCAUGGUCCGAGCUUGAAAGAUGGCUUCGGCUAUCACUUUUGGAUGGUCCCGCGGCGUAUUAGCUAGAUGGUGGGGUAACGGCUCACCAUGGCAAUGAUACGUAGCCGACCUGAGAGGGUAAUCGGCCACAUUGGGACUGAGACACGGCCCAAACUCCUACGGGAGGCAGCAGUAGGGAAUCUUCCACAAUGGACGAAAGUCUGAUGGAGCAACGCCGCGUGAGUGAAGAAGGGUUUCGGCUCGUAAAACUCUGUUGUUAAAGAAGAACAUAUCUGAGAGUAACUGUUCAGGUAUUGACGGUAUUUAACCAGAAAGCCACGGCUAACUACGUGCCAGCAGCCGCGGUAAUACGUAGGUGGCAAGCGUUGUCCGGAUUUAUUGGGCGUAAAGCGAGCGCAGGCGGUUUUUUAAGUCUGAUGUGAAAGCCUUCGGCUCAACCGAAGAAGUGCAUCGGAAACUGGGAAACUUGAGUGCAGAAGAGGACAGUGGAACUCCAUGUGUAGCGGUGAAAUGCGUAGAUAUAUGGAAGAACACCAGUGGCGAAGGCGGCUGUCUGGUCUGUAACUGACGCUGAGGCUCGAAAGUAUGGGUAGCAAACAGGAUUAGAUACCCUGGUAGUCCAUACCGUAAACGAUGAAUGCUAAGUGUUGGAGGGUUUCCGCCCUUCAGUGCUGCAGCUAACGCAUUAAGCAUUCCGCCUGGGGAGUACGGCCGCAAGGCUGAAACUCAAAGGAAUUGACGGGGGCCCGCACAAGCGGUGGAGCAUGUGGUUUAAUUCGAAGCUACGCGAAGAACCUUACCAGGUCUUGACAUACUAUGCAAAUCUAAGAGAUUAGACGUUCCCUUCGGGGACAUGGAUACAGGUGGUGCAUGGUUGUCGUCAGCUCGUGUCGUGAGAUGUUGGGUUAAGUCCCGCAACGAGCGCAACCCUUAUUAUCAGUUGCCAGCAUUAAGUUGGGCACUCUGGUGAGACUGCCGGUGACAAACCGGAGGAAGGUGGGGAUGACGUCAAAUCAUCAUGCCCCUUAUGACCUGGGCUACACACGUGCUACAAUGGAUGGUACAACGAGUUGCGAACUCGCGAGAGUAAGCUAAUCUCUUAAAGCCAUUCUCAGUUCGGAUUGUAGGCUGCAACUCGCCUACAUGAAGUCGGAAUCGCUAGUAAUCGCGGAUCAGCAUGCCGCGGUGAAUACGUUCCCGGGCCUUGUACACACCGCCCGUCACACCAUGAGAGUUUGUAACACCCAAAGUCGGUGGGGUAACCUUUUAGGAACCAGCCGCCCCUA